GACGAACGCUGGCGGCGUGCUUAACACAUGCAAGUCGAACGGAAAGGCCCUGCUUUUGUGGGUUGCUCGAGUGGCGAACGGGUGAGUAACACGUGAGUAACCUGCCCUUGACUUUGGGAUAACUUCAGGAAACUGGGGCUCAUACCGGAUAUGAGCUCCUGCUGCAUGGUGUGGGUUGGAAAGUUUCGGCGGUUGGGGAUGGACUCGCGGCUUAUCAGCUUGUUGGUGGGGUAGGGGCUUACCAAGCCUUUGACGGGUAGCCGGCCUGAGAGGGUGACCGGCCACAAGGGGACUGAGAUACGGCCCAGAAGCGUACGGGAGGCAGCAGGGGGGAAUAUUGCACAAUGGGCGGAAGCCUGAUGCAGCAACGCCGCGUGCGGGAUGACGGCCUUCGGGUUGUAAACAGAUGUCGCCGGUGACGAAGAGGGAGUGACGGUAAUGGGUAAAGAAGCACCGGCUAACUACGUG
rnacentral:rRNA from 1 species